CUACGGGUCGCACCAGUGGGGAAUAUUGCGCAAUGGACGAAAGUCUGACGCAGCGACGCCGUGUGAGGGAAGAAGGCUUUCGAGUCGUAAACCUCUGUCAGGAGGGAAGAACCGCGUGGAGGCGAAUAGGCUCUGCGUCUGACGGUACCUCCAGAGGAAGCACCGGCUAACUCCGUACCAGCAGCCGCGGUAAUACGGAGGGUGCAAGCGUUAAUCGGAAUCACUGGGCGUAAAGCGUACGUAGGCGGCCUGCCAAGUCGGAUGUGAAAGCCCGCGGCUCAACCGGGGAACUGCAUUCGAAACUGGCAAGCUAGAAUCCGAGAGAGGGUGGCGGAAUUCCAGGUGUAGGAGGGAAAUCCGUAGAGAUCUGGAGGAACGCCAGUGGCGAAGGCGGCCACCUGGAUCGUGAUUGACGCUGAGGUACGAAAGCGUGGGGAGCAAACAGGAUUAGAUACCCUAGUAGUC
rnacentral:rRNA from 1 species